rnacentral:rRNA from 1 species
UACGGAGGGUGCGAGCGUUGUCCGGAAUCACUGGGCGUAAAGGGCGCGUAGGCGGCCUGAUAAGUAGGGGGUGAAAUCCUGCGGCUUAACCGCAGGGCUGCCUUCUAAACUGUCAGGCUCGAGCACAGUAGAGGCAGGUGGAAUUCCCGGUGUAGCGGUGGAAUGCGUAGAGAUCGGGAGGAAUACCAGUGGCGAAAGCGGCACCCUAGCCUUAGCCUGACGCUCAUGUGCGAAAGCGUGGGGAGCGAACGGG